UUGCUUUAGCUGUACAUAUUCUGAAAUUGAAACAGUACAAAGAUGAGCGUGAUCCCUGUACAAAGCUAUCACUCAAAUUCAUGAAACAUUCCAUAUUUUA
ensembl:snRNA U6 U6 spliceosomal RNA